UACAGAGGUCCCAAGCGUUGUUCGGAAUCAUUGGGCGUAAAGGGUGCGUAGGCGGCGCGGUAAGUCGGGUGUGAAAUCUUGGAGCUUAACUCCGAAACUGCAUUCGAUACUGCCGUGCUUGAGGACUGGAGAGGAGACUGGAAUUUACGGUGUAGCGGUGAAAUGCGUAGAUAUCGUAAGGAAGACCAGUGGCGAAGGCGGGUCUCUGGACAGUUCCUGACGCUGAGGCACGAAGGCCAGGGGAGCAAACGGG
rnacentral:rRNA from 1 species